rnacentral:rRNA from 1 species
UACGGGGGGAGCAAGCGUUGUUCGGAUUUACUGGGCGUAAAGGGCGCGUAGGCGGCCACCGCAAGUCGACUGUGAAAUCUCCGGGCUUAACCCGGAAAGGUCAGCCGAUACUGCGGGGCUAGAGUGCAGAAGGGGCAACUGGAAUUCUCGGUGUAGCGGUGAAAUGCGUAGAUAUCGAGAGGAACACCUGCGGCGAAGGCGACUUCCUGGCCUGUCCUUGACGCUGAGGCGCGAAAGCUAGGGUAGCAAACGGG